rnacentral:lncRNA from 1 species
GGACUGUAUUCACAUCAGGCUUGAUUGGGCCAAAAGGUCUGCUUUCAAGUUCCCAAAGUCUGCCUGGGUGACCUCAGGAAGUGACAGCUGCCUUCCUCCAUAGUAAGGAAUGCAGGACACACACACACACACACACACACACACACACACAAACACACACACACGGGGAGGGGUGGGGAGAGAGAGAGAAGUUAUUCUAUAAAGUAGUUUCAGGAGAGAUCACCAGCAUUUUGUUGUAUCCUGUUGCUGUUACAGACCUACCAUCUAGUUCCAUGUGGAAGAGGACCACACAAGGGUGAAAUUCCAAUGGAAUUUGCCUUGCUAGACUUUGGAAUUCCUGGGCACCUGUGACCCCUGUCUCUUUUCUGGAUUCUCUUUUGGAAUGGAAAUGUCUGUUCUAUGCUCAUGCCAUCAUUUUGUUUUGGAAGCAGAAUUUCCCAGCACAUCUUCCUUGCAGCUGGCUUCAAAAGAGAAAGCUCCUGGGAUUCCAGGUGCUUGGGUCCUCAGGUGUCUCUUCCCAGUUCUGCAAACCUUCCCUGGAGCAGCGAUGGUUUUGAAUCCUCGAUCAUCUCAAUUUCUCUCUUCCAGUUAAUGCAGUGCCAUCAGACAUAUUGCCCUGAAGAUCAAGUCCGGGUCAUUCCAUCAAUUCACUGCGGUUUACGAAGAUAGAGAAAAAAGCCAGGCUGUGUGGGCUAUCAACUUCAAAUGGCUUAGUAAACAUGCUUUGGCUGUUUUAACUGCUUCACUUCUGACUCUGGACCUUUGUGCUUCUGGACAAGACCACCCAAAUCAGCCCCGCUGGAUAUGGUAGAUGCAGCCCUGAAGCCAGGAGGCCUUGGGAGAGGAAGAAGCACAUCUGGAGAGUUCCCAGCCAGAGUGGUUGCAACAGGACUUGGAGGGAGGCUUGUAUCCAGCAUUGACUGAGGAUGCUACCUAAGUUCCAACAGUUUGUCUCACCAGCCAGAGAACUUGGCAGCUGGUGGGGGAAAAGGAAGAAGAGAGGCGUGUUCCUUUAGUAAUAGGUUUUGUAGCAGGGUUGGGAUUCCUAAUCCAAUCCAUCUUCUCUCUACAGGAGCUGCUGGUCAGUGAUAAUGGUUUCAAAAGAUGAAAACUCUGUAAGUCAUUUUUCAUGGGAUGAGGUGUCACCAAGGGCAGGACACACACAGAGAACAGCACACUUAUUGGAAGAGAUGAUCUCUCAGGAAGAGAAUGAACAUUUCUUGCCCCAGGGAGAGAGGGAAGGAGUGGAAGAGGUGGCAUUUGGUUAGAUUGCUGAUGUUUGCACAGAUAAAACACUAGAUGUCUCUUGAGAAUCCAGUGCAGUUAUUACAUUGGGUGCAAAGAAUCUUGAAUUAUUAUUAUAUUCCUUGUACUUAUGCAUGAUGUCAAAAUUUGAAAUCCUAUGCUCCAAAUUCUGGUGAUACAGUAUUUGCAGAAAAGUGACAGUGACUCUAAAUAUUAUUAAAAAGUGUAUUG